GUAGCCGGGCUCGUGGGUAGGAGCUGCGUUCACUUCUGCUUCCGCCCUGCAAGCCCGGUAGCU
rfam:Sarcophilus harrisii ctg7180002320522, whole genome shotgun sequence.